CGCAAGCCUGACGGAGCAAGACCGCGUGGGGGAGGAAGGCUCUUGGGUUGUAAACCCCUUUUCUCAGGGAAGAACAAAUGACGGUACCUGAGGAAUCAGCCUCGGCUAACUCCGUGCCAGCAGCCGCGGUAAUACGGAGGAGGCAAGCGUUAUCCGGAAUUAUUGGGCGUAAAGCGUUCGUAGGCGGUUUUAUAAGUCUGCUGUCAAAGUGCGGAGCUCAACUCCGUAAGAGCAGUGGAAACUGUGAGACUUGAGUGUGGUAGGGGUAGAGGGAAUUCCCAGUGUAGCGGUGAAAUGCGUAGAUAUUGGGAAGAACACCGGUGGCGAAAGCGCUCUACUGGGCCAUAACUGACGCUGAGGGACGAAAGCUAGGGGAGCG
rnacentral:rRNA from 1 species